ensembl:lncRNA
GUAGCACUUUCCCAAAUUGUAUGAGCAAAUUAGCAGUUUGGAAUACCACACUCAGCUUCGGCAAUCCUUGCCAACCUCAUCCUGCUCAGAGAAGGCCACGCUCAGGCUUUUCAGAGCAGAGAGUAACAUUGUUUCUUGCUGCCCUUUGGCCACUGUGGUACGGUUAGCUGAGGAGAGGCCUUGGCGAUGGCACUGCCAGAGACUGAUGAACAAGGAGAAGCUGAAUAUGGAGGGAAGGGAGAAAAAAGAGGAGACCAGGAAGGAUUGAAGCUGCCCUCUCUCCCUUAGCAUCUCAAGCCAUCUGCCUGCUCUGUCAAAAAAGGUGGCCUUGGGUGUGGCAGCUAAUGAAGCUUUCCUCUGCAGGGGUACCUCACAGAGCACAGAGACGCAAGAAUGUACAGCACCAGGAGUGAACCCUAAUGUAAACCAUGGACGUUGGGUGAUAACGAUGUGUCAGUGUAGGCUCAUCAGUUGUAACAAAUUUAGCGAAUGCCGAACCUGAACCUGACGUCUGUCUCCUGGAAACUUGUGCCCAUCAGUCCCAUAGUGACUCAGAGCACCUCCUCUUCCUCGUGACCGUCCUUCAGAUGUCUACAGAUCACAGGAACAUCCCCCUGAGUAUUUCCUCUGCUUCCAGCUAAGCUUUUAUAUUUCCUUGGACCAUUUUGGUUUUUUCAGCCACUUUAUCUUCCUCCGAACAAGAAGCUGCCUUGUUCUUAGAUGACCCAUCUCCAUGGCCAGAGUGGAUGGGUACAGAGGAGGUAUUGACGCAAGCUGUCCGAUCCGAUUUCUGCUCUCGGAUUUUUCAAACUGGCGCUGAAGUCAGUCAGAUCCUCUCUGGGUAGGAGCUGACGGAUGUGAGGUUUGGGAUGUGUUGACAGCCGUGUUUUCUGCCGUGUGUGGGAAGAACACCAUGUAAGAGAGACAAUGAAGGUGACCCUGAGAGGAGCAGAGAAAUGGAGGGGGAGGGACUGCCGGCAGCCUUCGGGCAUCUGGAUGCGGUUGCCCCGGAAGCCCAGCGCUAUCCCUGUCCUUCCGGUGGAUUGUCAUUCAAUCCUUUUUGUAUUCUGUGAACCAAUAAAGUCCCUUUGUCUAAACCAGUUUACAGUGGAUUUCUGAGACUUUCAAAUAAGAGAAUCAAACUGGCCACAUCUGAAAACCUAGAGCGUGGGCUUUGGAAUUCAAAAAGCCUCGGUUUGAAUCCUAUGUUCGCCACUUAUUACCUUUGUGAUCUUUAGGAAAUUUCCUAAGUACUCUGACCUCGUUUUCUUCACCUGUAAAAUGGGACCAGCAUUCGGUACGUUACCGCUUUGCUAUAAGGAAUAAGGAAGGAUCCUGCCUAUAAAGGCCACUUCUGCACCUGACACACAGUAGUCUCAUCCCAUUGGCAACAGCAAAGCAAAUUUUAUCUUUAUUACUACCGAGUUUCAGUUAAUUCAGGCAUUUACACAAGCUGUCACAAAAUUUGUUUCCUCACCCUGAACUGACUUUUUGAGCCUAAUUGCUGGAUUUUCAGAAUGUUUCUGCUCACUUUCCCCUUUGUUAAUUCCAGAAAAAUUGUUUAACAGAAAUGUUGAAGUUUUUCAAAGGACAGAUGCUCCUCUGUCCCCUAGGAAGCUUCUGACUUGUGUUGUUUUCAGAGUUUCAUGACCAGGGCAACAGAAGCAGUCAAUGUUUGAAGUCUUUCUCCUCUGCUGUGGGUAAAUUCUUGGGCCCUUUCCCAGAAAUGACUUUCCAGAAUAAUUGUUCUAGAAAGCUCCACGGAGACUGCCUGUCUGCUGAACUGUCACACGUUGGAGUUAAUUCACAGUUCCCGUCAUCUAUCCACAAUGAUAUGCAAAAAGCCCUUGGCUUGGAGAUAGAAGAUUCUAGGCUCAAUUUCCAGCUUUCGAAGUUUCCAGACUCCUCGGGUUACGAGUCCUGUAGGGGCUGGUGCAGGAGUUCUAAGAUGAACUCAGCUACUGACCUCAAACAGAUCAUGUUCUAAUGGAAGAGAGCAGUCACAUACAGCUGUCAUUUAACAGAUAUAAUAACGCUAUACUGAUAGUUGUCGUAUACAUUCAGUCCAUAGUGCACAGGCAAUGACAUAGGAUCACGACCAAAUAGAAAAGGAAUUGAUCUCCAGGAUUUGCUGCUGAUCGUAACUGAUGAUGGUUCCGGUUGACCCCUUUUGGGGAACGGUGAGCAGAUUUCCAGCUGUAUAAGGGAUGGUUGUUCUAUGUCCGGCAGGAGCACUGUUGUGUUUCAGAAGUAUGGGAAUGAUGUCGGAAAGCAAAACGAGUGGACUACAGUGGACAUCUGGUUUUGGUGGUCAAGCUUCAACGUCUGGAAACUCUUCUACCUACCACAUGAGGCAGAGACCACCUGCCACAUCUUCCAUGAGAGACGCUGAAAAUACCAAAUGUUUGCCUUGCAGCUAGGCGUGGGGGCGUGAGCUAGGCUCUGCCAGUGAGAGGCAUCUGCCCCAGAACUCGGAGACGCCAGGCAGCAGGGACUGUGUGCAUUCAUUUGGUGAGACUGGCAGAUGCAGGGCCAGCUCUCUCCAGAGCUCAGGGCAGGAGGGGGCUUCCGGGGUGCCAAUAGUUCAUGCCAUGCUCUGUGCUUAGGGACUGUGGCAGCAGCGUCCACAGGGACCGGGUCUGAGAUGUGAUCUUGACAUGGUUACUGACCACACCACUUUAGAGCAUCAUUUUUGGGUGUGGAGCACGGAGAGGGAGACAUUUCCUCCCUUAUUCACAAUUGUGUGCUUGGCAUUAAAUGAUGGGAUGCAAGUGAAAGCCCCUGAGGCAUGAGGCUUAUUUUCAGAAAAUGUUUGUUCCGUCAGAAUCUUGAGCUUGCUAUUGGAUGGUAAAUGAGCAGUUCUGAGAGACAAACUGUGGAUCUCUUUCUCAAAGCACAAGUGAGAAGUGGAUGGAGUUCCAGGGCGGGUAUAGGGUUUCAGCCUCGGCCAGAAGCCCAUCAAGCACUGAUGAGUUUUCUGUGGGACUCCAGGGCAGCACAGAUGACCCAAUGGUCCCCCUGGUCAGUGUGAGGAAGCAUGGUUGGUAGUACGACUGUGCGCAACUCCAGGGGACGCUAUGCAUAUUGUUAUCUAUAGAGGAACAGAGAUGGUAAAACUGUGAGGUUGCCCAUGAGCCAGCCACUUGGCUGAGGGAUGGGAUGCUUAACUCAGGGACCAUGUUGGGGUGGGUACUGCUGAUGGGGGCUGAAGGAGAGUAGCCCCCUCAUCUACCAGCACUACCCCAUCCCUCCAGGAAGAAAAGGAAGAUUGUGUCUUCAUGCGGGAGGGGGCCAGGGUAACGCAGAACACUAUUAAAGAAAACCAUGCAUAAAGCCUGUGUCAAGACCACCAACUAGCACACGCCAACGUCAGGGCUGGGGUUGGGGAAUCUCUCCUCAGCCCCAGGACGCUGUCCCCUUGUGAGCAAAACUCCCCUCCUCAUCCCUGUGGGGCUCUAGGGGGGAGCGAAGCCUCUGAGAGUUCAGGGAGACAGACGAGGGAUGGGGAAGGAAGUUCAGAGAGAACUUGGGCUUCUGGUGACAAUGAUGAUAAAAUAUGAAUUUGCUGCUAUGGACUGAAUGGUGUCCUCCCCAAAGUUCAUGUGCUGAAGCCAUGACCUCCAAUGUGAUAUUCAGAGAUGGGGCCUUUGGGAGGUGAUUAGGGUGAGAUGAGGUCAUGAGAGGACCCAUGGUGGGAUUAGUGACCUUAUAAGAGAAGGGAGGGACAUCAGGGCCAGCUCUCUUCAUCACGUGAAGACGCAGCAAGAAGGCAGCUGUCUGCAAGCCAGGAGGAGGGCCCUCACCAAGAACUCAAUCUGCUAGCACCCUGAUCUUGGACUUCCCAGCCUCCAGAACAAAUGUCUGGUGAGAAACAAAUGUCUGUUGUGUGAGCCACCAGUCUAUGCUGUUUUGUUAUUGCAGCCUGAGGAGACUAAGGCAACUGCAUAUUCACCCCAGACAAGUGAUUUUUUUUUGCUGGGAAAGAUUCACCCUGAGCUAACGUCUGUUGCCAAUCUUCCCCCUUUUUUUUUCCUCCCCAAAGCCCCAGUGCAUAGUUGUAUAUUCUAGCUGUAAGUCCUUCUACGUGAGCUGCUGCCACAGCAUGGCAAUUGACAGAUGGGUGGUAUGGCUCCACGCGUGGGAACUGAACCCCGGUCGCCGAAGUGGAGUGUGCUGAACUUUAAAACCACUAGGCCACCAGGCCUGGCUCACAAGCUAUUUUAAUAAAUGGAUUUGAUUCCAGAAAUCAUUUGAAUGGAAUAGAAUAUGAACAAGAAUGGCACAAAAGACAUUUACUGUGGUUUUUUGGGGUGCUCAGGACCCAGAAAUGUCGACACCAUUUUUAAGAAUAAACUUUCACAUUCAGAUAUAGCUGUGUGACUCCUCAGUCUGCUUACACGUGUCUUUGAACUUAGACUUCAGACCCAAAGAACAAUCUCAUCAUCUUCCCCACACCAAGUUUUCCUUGUUUGUGGCACCUGCACUAACCAACUGCCCAACCUAGGAACUGGCCCCACCCUCGGCCACUCCCUCUGCCUGCCCAUCAGUCAUCCAGUCAUCACUUCCUCCUUUUCAAUAUGUUUGGGUUACGACCAGUUACCUCGUCCUCACUGCCACCAUCUGCCACCAUCUCUCCCUGGACCUCUGCCACUGCGUCCAACAGGUCUUCUUCC